AGAAUUUGCAUGCUGCUUCCAGGGGAGGACAUUCCUGCAAGGUUUACAUAAAAGCUCAGCUCUAACCUGGCCUUGACUCACCAGGACUCCUCAGCUCAGCUUCUCAAGAUGAGGCUCCCUGCUCAGUUCCUGGGGCUGCUCCUGCUCUGGAUCCCUGGAUCCAGUGGGGAUGUUGUGCUGACACAGACUCCUCUCACUGUGCCCAUCACCCCUGGACAGCCUGCCUCCAUCUUCUGCAGAUCCAGUCAGAGCCUCCUAUACAGUGAUGGAAAAACCUAUUUGGAAUUGCAUCAGCAGAAGCCAGGC
ensembl:lincRNA